AUUGAACGCUGGCGGCAGGCCUAACACAUGCAAGUCGAGCGAGCGGCGGACGGGUGAGUACUGCAUGGGGACUGCCCGAUAGAGGGGGAUAACUACUGGAAACGGUGGCUAAUACCGCAUACUGUCGGCUCACCCAUAUGGGAUUAGCUCGUACGUAAGGUAAUGGCUUACCUAGGCAACGCUCCCUAGCUGGUCUGAGAGGAUGGUCAGCCACACUGGGACUGAGACACGGCCCAGACGCCUACGGAGGCAGCAGUGGGGAAUAUUGCACAAUGGACGAAAGUCUGACGGAGCAACGCCGCGUGAGUGAUGACGGCCUUCGGGUUGGAAAGCUCUGUUAAUCGGGAGACGGUACCGGAAUAGAAAGCCACGGCUAACUACGUGCCAGCAGCCGCGGUAAUUC
rnacentral:rRNA from 1 species